ensembl:lncRNA
CCAAGCAGUUACCACCGUCCCUUUGUCCAGCCACAGUCCUGAAGCUAUGCUGGCAACCACUUCAGUGCACUGAGGAUCCUGAUCCAGCUCGUGACAAGUCCCAUCUGAGGUUUGAUCUUGGAUGGUACAAACCAGCAAAUGCCAAGAUGACAGGCGAAGACAUCAAACCACAGCCUUAAUGUCAAAAUUCAGACCACUGGAGAAAAUCUAACAUCGGUGUGGUCUUGCAGGAGGGAUUACUCUGUGCUCUAGUAAAAACAUAGAGAUGACUUCAACCAAGAAAGUGAUGUAGAGAUUUUCCUAUUGAUAUAAGGAGUCAAAAUAAUUACCCGUAUUUCAUUUACAUAUAGAACCAAGAUUUCAGCUCAUGCCUACCUUUAAUUUUGGUUUUGUUCUUAGAAUUCUUACCAUGCUUUAACGUUACUCCUUUAGAGUGGAAUAGAAAACUCACCAUCUUUAGUAUGCUUUAAAUGAAACGAGGUAGCUAUUGGAACAAGAAGUCCAAAAGAGGCUAAAGCUAUUAUUAAAAGGAAAAAAAAAAAAAGAAAAAAGAAAAGAAAUGAAUUGUUUGUUAUUCCUAAAACACUACACAUCACAAGUUACCAAACUGUCAUUCUUUCUUAUUCAACUUUGUUCCACCUGUUGAAAGUAUCAAGAAAGUUCCCAUUACUUUACAAAAUCAGAAAAGUUAGAAAAAUAUCUUACUUCAAUUUUGCCUGGGUAAAGAUAUUUUUUUCUUUUUUAAACUUUACUGAUUUUAUAAAUACUGUUGGGCACAUUACUUAUAGGGGCUGCGUCUGACAAAACCCGCAUCUCAAGGAUCUCUGCAGUGACCAUAGUGUGUAAGCGUGGCAGGAAGAGAAUGCCGCACUCCGUGCAAAAAAAAGAGGGGACCUAAAAAUGCUUCUGCUCCAGAAUGGCAUUGUCUGAAGGACUCUGAGCAGCUUAAUCCUUGUCACUUAGCUCUGCAACUGUGCCAUAACAUCUGUCUGCACAGACUUUAAACCUGAAUAUUGCAGAAGCUCAUCUACUUUACCCUGGGCGUUAGGCAGCACUGCACUUGAAAGAGAAAUUAAAACAGGUUUGGAUUUUUUGAGAGGAAGUUCCCAUACAGAAACACAAACAGAUCCAUUCAACUCCUUGCUCAAUAGGCAAAACAGUCCAACUUCAGCCUCAGCCAGGUGAACUCUGUUUUUUCUUGCCAGUAGCAAUACAGGCACAAACAAGUGUUAGUGUCAUCACUGGAGUUUUUCUUAAUUUUUCUAACCUUAUAAAAGAGAUGCUUGGUUUCUUUAUGAAAUAGUUGGAGCCUGCGACUAAUUGGAUCCUGAUUUGUUAAUGUGUACUCAUGUCCGGGUCACAGCCCAAGAUCUGGUUCUCUAAGCUGUAGAAAUGCUGAAGGCUGGCAUCCUUGGGCUGGCACAACAUGACUUCCCCAUGGACAUGCAGAACAAGAUCUGGUGGGCUCCACUCUUUUCUCACCUCAUAAGACAGUCAGGUUUUUUAAGCCAGAAUGGCCAAAGGCCUUCCACACGCCCCUCAUAGAUGAGCUGCUAAGUCUCCCUGUAU